GGAUGAGUUCCAGAGAAAAAGCUCCAGGCUCUUGAAGGAUUCAGGGACUGAAUUUCAGGACCGUCAAGGCAUGUUGCUCUUCAGGGGCUAUUGCAGAGAAUGUCGGUGUCACAGAACUGGCGAUGGAUGUUUGAGCACUCGGGGAUUCUUCCGAUGGUCGGGAAGGGGAACUGAAGCUGUGUCGAAACAAAGAAGGACAGAUGCAGAGAGAAAGAGAAAGCGAGAGCAUCAGACAGAGAGAGAUGGAACAAGGUAGUGAAAGGACAAACAGAAAUGAUAGCAACAAUACAUUGGAAAGGAGAAGUAAAAAGGUGAAUGUAAGAAAGGAAUAUAAACAACGCAAGGCAGAAAAGGUGGAAUGGAAUAUACAGUACUGCCACCACCUGCCCACCUGCAGCCCCCCAGCCCAGGCAGAAGAGGAGGAGCCAGGCCCCAGCUCAGUCGAUUUCAAUGUCCACUAUUACACGGAAUAAGAAAAACAAAAGAGGACGGCUUGGAACAGGAGAACAAAGUGUUACUUUCCCAAGUGCUACCACGGCGACCGGUCACCUAAACGUAAAGAGCCUCGGUGUCAAAGCCAAAGCAUGGCCUUCAUGAUACUUCAAUGCCCGGUCUCUGAUCAACAGGGCAAUGAAAAUGCUUGAGUGCUCUUAAUUACUGCAAUUGACGUGUGCCUUAUGGUGAGGAGCAGAGACAUUAACAGUGAGUGAUAACAGCAUCAGCCUCUUAAUAUGAAAACAGUUACAGUAUUGGCAGAAGUCCUGUCAGGCUGGCGGUGGACUUGUGUCAACAUGGCAACUUUAUUCCAUAAACAUCUUUUAGAGGGUGAGCCUUAAAAAUCAGCUUGUAAUUCUUUCCCAAUCAAGGAAAUGGUCUAGUUAAUUACUGGGCUGGUGGGGGACAUGACUUGAGACUACACCUUUAGAACAUAACAUAGCUGAAGUAAGCGUAACAGAAGCUGAUACUGGUAUGCAGUCCUUCUGUUAUGCAGUUUGUAUUCCUACUUAGAACUAGCUCCCUGUAUUACGAAAUACAUAUUUCCGGAUAUGGGAAAACAGCAUGAAACAAUGAAUAUUCCAAUGUAAGCACUAAAGGAUAAUAGCACCUUCCAUGUGAAAGAGAGAGGUGUCUGUAAAGCAGUACAUACAGUCAGUCAUGCUGUGAGUAAUGUUUUUACACCCAAAAGAAUAAUUAUUAGAGCAGGGUGCCUUGACCUAUAUAGACAUGCUUUUGUGGGGACUAGUCCCGUAGAAAAUUCCUUUUUGUACCUAUAUGCAGCACCCCAUAAAAUAGGUAGCGUUAACCGUACAUUAUACUUCUCUCCGGUUCUUAUGUAUUACCCAGUAAAUUACUAAUUACAACGCUCUCUACAUCUGGCAUGUGAAUGUGU